AGAGGAGCUAUAUAUAUAUAGUCAAAUUUUAUUUUUGUUUCAAAUUUAUUUUUCAGUUAAUGAAAAAGUGAAUAAAAUCUUCUGAAAACUAGAGAGUAGCAUUUCAUACAAGGGCCAAACUAUUAAUGUGGCAACUAAUUCUUGCACGAAUUCCGAAUGCCUUGCUCCUGUGGACAGCUUGGCUUGAUGGUUAAUGCUUUAGGAUAUGUAGGGAGAGUGAAACAAAAGUGAUUAUAAAUCAUAAGGAGGGAGGGCAGACAAAACAGAAACAACUGAUUAUUAAUUAAGAU
rnacentral:lncRNA from 1 species